GAUGAACGCUGGCGGCGUGCCUAAUACAUGCAAGUCGAGCGAAUGGAUUAAGAGCUUGCUCUUAUGAAGUUAGCGGCGGACGGGUGAGUAACACGUGGGUAACCUGCCCAUAAGACUGGGAUAACUCCGGGAAACCGGGGCGAAUACCGGAUAACAUUUUGAACCGCAUGGUUCGAAAUUGAAAGGCGGCUUCGGCUGUCACUUAUGGAUGGACUCGCGUCGCAUUAACUAGUUGGUGAGGUAACGGCUCAACAAGGCAACGAUGCGUAGCCAACCUGAGAGGGUGAUCGGCCACACUGGGACUGAGACACGGCCCAGACUCCUACGGGAGGCAGCAGUAGGGAAUCUUCCGCAAUGGACGAAAGUCUGACGGAGCAACGCCGCGUGAGUGAUGAAGGCUUUCGGGUCGUAAAACUCUGUUGUUAGGGAAGAACAAGUGCUAGUUGAAUAAGCUGGCACCUUGACGGUACCUAACCAGAAAGCCACGGCUAACUACGUGCCAGCCGCCGCAGUAA
rnacentral:rRNA from 1 species